AUUAGCGGGGAAACUUUCCCGCUAGUUUUAGCUGGGAAAUUUUCCGCUAGAUUUAGCGGGAAAAUGUUCCCGCGAGAUUUAGCGGGGAACUUUUCCGCUAGAUUUAGUGUGAAAAUUUUUCCGCUAGAUUUAGCGGGGAAACGUUUCCGCGAGAUUUAGCGGGGAAAUUUUUUGCUUGGUUUAGCGGGGAAAUGUUUCUGCUAGAUUUAGCGGGGAAAAUUUUCCGCUACAUUUAGUAGGGAAAUUUUCCGCUAGAUUUAGCGGGGAAAUUUCCCGCUAGAU
rnacentral:SRP_RNA from 1 species